AUCUGACCUCAAAUCAGGUAGGACUACCCGCUGAACUUAAGCAUAUCAA
rnacentral:rRNA from 1 species